CCUUUGUUUUCUGACCAGCUGCAUCCACCCACAGGUCUGCUGGAGAGUUCUACGAAGCAGUGGGUGUCUCGCAGCUUCUUGCUGCACAGCUGGGCUCUCAAAUUUAGAGUCCAUGAGCUUUGAGAAAAGCUCACAGACAUAAUUACGUUCUCCACCCAUAGCCAGGCUCAAUCCAGAGAGGCGUUGGCUCAGUUUGCAUCAGGCUGUGUCAUGGCACCACAGAUUUAAAUUGUGUUCUUCCACAACAGAAGGCAUCUUAGAAGUCUUUUCUCCAGAAGGAUUUGUGUUUUCUUCUGCACAGGAUCCAGGGAGACACAACUGAUCUAUAGACUAUUUCAAGCCCCUGUAGGGGUCCAAGAUUAUGUAGGACUCUGGACAAGUUCUCUCAUUUUGCUGCUGGCCCAAAGAUUAAGGAUACUACUGAACAAAUCACAGGGCUAAUAUUGAAAUUUGACCCUCAAAAACUCUGUCAUUUAUGUUAUGUUGUACAAUUGGAAUUAAUGGACCAUUGCAUGUCAACUAUUGGAUUUUUUACCUAUUUAAUACCUGUCCUUUGACCUCAGGGAUAUCUGUGUGCUACACACUUCUCUUAGGGGUACAACAUUGGCAGC